CUACGGGUUGCAGCAGUGAGGAAUUUUGCGCAAUGGGGGAAACCCUGACGCAGCAACGCCGCGUGAGCGAAGAAGGCCUUCGGGUCGUAAAGCUCUGUCAAGUGGGAAAAAAAUUCUUUGAUGAACAGUCAAAGGACUUGAUGGUACCACUGGAGGAAGCACCGGCUAACUCCGUGCCAGCAGCCGCGGUAAUACGGAGGGUGCAAGCGUUGCUCGGAAUUACUGGGCGUAAAGAGCGUGUAGGCGGUUUGACAAGUCAGAUGUGAAAGCCCCGGGCUCAACCCGGGAAGUGCAUUUGAAACUGUUUCACUAGAGUAUGGGAGAGGAGAUUGGAAUUCCUGGUGUAGAGGUGAAAUUCGUAGAUAUCAGGAGGAACACCCGUGGCGAAGGCGAUUCUCUGGACCAAUACUGACGCUGAGACGCGAAAGCGUGGGGAGCAAACAGGAUUAGAUACCCUAGUAGUC
rnacentral:rRNA from 1 species